UGAACGCUGGCGGCGUGCCUAAUACAUGCAAGUCGCGCGAACGGACGCGAAGCUUGCUUUUCUGAUGUUAGCGGCGGACGGGUGAGUAACACGUGGAUAACCUACCUAUAAGACUGGGAUAACUUCGGGAAACCGGAGCUAAUACCGGAUAAUAUUUUGAACCGCAUGGUUCAAAAGUGAAAGACGGUCUUGCUGUCACUUAUAGAUGGAUCCGCGCUGCAUUAGCUAGUUGGUAAGGUAACGGCUUACCAAGGCAACGAUGCAUAGCCGACCUGAGAGGGUGAUCGGCCACACUGGAACUGAGACACGGUCCAGACUCCUACGGGAGGCAGCAGUAGGGAAUCUUCCGCAAUGGGCGAAAGCCUGACGGAGCAACGCCGCGUGAGUGAUGAAGGUCUUCGGAUCGUAAAACUCUGUUAUUAGGGAAGAACAUAUGUGUAAGUAACUGUGCACAUCUUGACGGUACCUAAUCAGAAAGCCACGGCUAACUACGUG
rnacentral:rRNA from 1 species